AUGGUGCCUUCACAAAUGAAUCUCUCGGCCGUCCUCCUAGUCGUCGUCCUCCUACCCAUCGUCAUGGAAGCUGGUGAGUCGGCGAUCGUUGGGAAAUAUCGUUGCGGUGACGAACAUCAGAGCGGCAAUUAUAAAGGGAUAUGCAUUGGAUUGAUACAUGACCGCGCUUGCAAUCGUGUAUGCGUAGACGAAAGCAGCGACAACUCUGGUGGCGAAUGUGACUUUUUGCAAUGCUGGUGCAUAACCAGAUGCACCUCUGAGUCUGAGGCUGUUGCCAGUGCUCCGAUCCGGCAAUAA
rnacentral:rRNA from 1 species